UACGAAGGGGGCUAGCGUUGUUCGGAAUUACUGGGCGUAAAGCGUAUGUAGGCGGAUCGUUAAGUCGGGGUGAAAUCCCGAGGCUCAACCUCGGAACUGCCUUCGAUACUGGCGAUCUUCGAGUCCGGGAGAGGUGAGUGGAACUCCGAGUGUAGAGGUGAAAUUCGUAGAUAUUCGGAAGAACACCGAGUGGCGAAGGCGGGCAGC
rnacentral:rRNA from 1 species